rnacentral:rRNA from 1 species
GUUGAACGCUGGCGGCAUGCCUUACACAUGCAAGUCGAACGGUAACAGGUCUUCGGAUGCUGACGAGUGGCGAACGGGUGAGUAAUACAUCGGAACGUGCCCGAUCGUGGGGGAUAACGAAGCGAAAGCUUUGCUAAUACCGCAUAAGAUCUAAGGAUGAAAGCAGGGGACCGCAAGGCCUUGCGCGAACGGAGCGGCCGAUGGCAGAUUAGGUAGUUGGUGGGAUAAAAGCUUACCAAGCCGACGAUCUGUAGCUGGUCUGAGAGGACGACCAGCCACACUGGGACUGAGACACGGCCCAGACUCCUACGGGAGGCAGCAGUGGGGAAUUUUGGACAAUGGGCGAAAGCCUGAUCCAGCCAUGCCGCGUGCAGGAUGAAGGCCUUCGGGUUGUAAACUGCUUUUGUACGGAACGAAAAGACUCUGGUUAAUACCUGGGGUCCAUGACGGUACCGUAAGAAUAAGCACCGGCUAACUACGUGCCAGCCGCCGCCGUAAGAC